rnacentral:rRNA from 1 species
GACGAACGCUGGCGGCGUGCCUAAUACAUGCAAGUAGAACGCACAGUUUAUACCGUAGCUUGCUACACCAUAGACUGUGAGUUGCGAACGGGUGAGUAACGCGUAGGUAACCUGCCUGGUAGCGGGGGAUAACUAUUGGAAACGAUAGCUAAUACCGCAUAAUAUUAAUUAUUGCAUGAUAAUUAAUUGAAAGGUGCAAUUGCACCACUACCAGAUGGACCUGCGUUGUAUUAGCUAGUAGGUGAGGUAACGGCUCACCUAGGCGACGAUACAUAGCCGACCUGAGAGGGUGAUCGGCCACACUGGGACUGAGACACGGCCCAGACUCCUACGGGAGGCAGCAGUAGGGAAUCUUCGGCAAUGGACGAAAGUCUGACCGAGCAACGCCGCGUGAGUGAAGAAGGUUUUCGGAUCGUAAAGCUCUGUUGUAAGGGAAGAACGGGUGUGAGAGUGGAAAGUUCACACUGUGACGGUAACUUACCAGAAAGGGACGGCUAACUACGUG